CCUACGGGCGGCUGCAGUUGGGAAUCUUGCACAAUGGGGGAAACCCUGAUGCAGCGACGCCGCGUGGAGGAAGAAGGGUCUAGGCUCGUAAACUCCUUUUUCAGGGAAAGACUUAGGACGGUACCCUGAGAAUAAGCUCCGGCUAACUACGUGCCAGCAGCCGCGGUAAGCCGUAGGGAGCGAGCGUUGUACGGAUUAACUGGGCGUAAAGAGCACGUAGGCGGUCUGUUAAGUGAGAAGUGAAAUCUCCAGCGCUCAACGCGGAAACUGCAUUUCAAACUGGCAGACUGGAGUGAUGCAGAGGCAAGUAGAAUUCCUGGUGUACCGGUGACAUGGGUUGAUAUCAGGAGGAAUACCAAUGGCGAAGGCAGCUUGCUGGGCAUCAUCUGACGCUGAGGUGCGAAAGCGUGGGGAGCAAACAGGAUUAGAUACCCCUGUAGUC
rnacentral:rRNA from 1 species